UACAACUUUCAACAACGGAUCUCUUGGCUCUCGCAUCGAUGAAGAACGCAGCGAAAUGCGAUAAGUAAUGUGAAUUGCAGAUUUUCAGUGAAUCAUCGAAUCUUUGAACGCACCUUGCGCUCCUUGGUAUUCCGAGGAGCAUGCCUGUUUGAGUAUCAUU
rnacentral:rRNA from 1 species